AGGAAUUGGCGGGGGAGCACUACAACGGGUGGAGCCUGCGGUUCAAUUGGAUUCAACGCCGGAAAGCUUACCGGGUCAGACAGCAAUAUGAAGGUCAAGCUAAAGACUUUACCGAAUUCGCUGAGAGGAGGUGCAUGGCCGUCGUCAGUUCGUAUCGUGAGACAUCCUGUUAAGUCAGGCAACGAGCAAGACCCGUGCCCACAGUUGCCAGCAUACCCUCCGGGGUGAUGGGCACACUGUGGGGACCGCCGCUGCUAAAGCGGAGGAAGGCGCGGGCUACGGUAGGUCAGUAUGCCCCGAAUCAUCCGGGCUACACGCGGGCUACAAUGGUUGGGACAAUGGGCACCUACACCGAGAGGUGAUGGUAAUCUCCUAAACCCAGCCUUAGUUCGGAUUGAGGGCUGCAACUCGCCCUCAUGAAGCCGGAAUCCGUAGUAAUCGCGUAUCAAUAUCACGCGGUGAAUACGUCCCUGCUCCUUGCACACACCGCCCGUCAAACCAUGCGAGUGAGGUCUGAAUGAGGGCACGCUUUUUGGCGUGUUCGAAUUUGGGCUUCGCGAGUGGGGUUAAGUCGUAACAAGGUAACCUCAGUCAGUCAA
rnacentral:rRNA from 1 species